GAUAACUAGUAGCUCAGGCUACAGUUGCGAAACGAAGUGGGGAUGCAAAUUAUCCCCUCAGGUGUACCUCGUUAUUAUAUUCAAAUAAAAGAAUUUAUAUCAUCACAUGGCAAAUGGUACGAGCUGACAGACAGCGGGACCGGGAGGAACAAGUUGACAUAUGGGAGAAAGGUGACUUCUUCCUAGCUCAACUGUUCGGUCUCCGACCGUACGAGCCCGAUCCGGAGCCGGAAGAUUGGAAUUAAGAUAUAUGAGAGUGACAACGCAGCGGCGGGAAAGAUGAUGAAACAUAAGAGAAAGAGAGAUGGUAGGUAUGUGCUAUAAGUGUUUGCAAGCCUUUGUUACCGAUGCAUUUUUGGAGAGAGAGAGGCGGGUGACGACAAAAAAUAAGGACCGGGAUCCUACGUUUAUGUAACAUCAAUAGCGCUGGGACCUUUCCCCCUCUUUCUCUGCGUUACGAGUAUCCCCCGCGCCUAUGAAUAUCCCCCGCGUCCCGCGUUUCCCUCUAGCCUUAUGGGUUAGAACCCGCCUUGCUUUACUACUAUGGAUAAUAUUAAUUCUAUCCUUCACCGAGGGGUAAAGGUUGUAUAUAACGGAACAGAAGGAGUGGAGACUGCUUCGUUACAUACAAUAAUAGUGAGAGAGCAUUCUUCAGUAAUAUGAUUUAGCAUAAACAGUAUAGAUUUCCAAGAUGUCAAAUCUAACUUAUUGUAUAUUUUCCGUAUAUUUAUUGUACGCAAUUCGUUAACACGUUGAAAAGAGAAAAAAAAACAUUCAUUAAAAAUCGUUUCGUUUAUUUGAAUAUAAAACCCUUCUUUUACAAAUAAUGACAUAACCUUCAAGAUAAAUUGAAUCAAUAACGCGAACUUUUUCGAGCAUAAACUCAUUAAUUUGGCAAUUUUCUGACUUUAUGAAAUUCCUGAGUGCCAUUGUCGAAAGGUCGUUCAUCUAUCAUCGUUAUUAUAUUAUCAACCCGAUUAAGUAAAAACGCUACUUUCUCGUAUUCGGUUAUGAAUUUUUUGCGACGGAUCUAAUCCUACUGGAUUUUCGAGGGAAUCAAUCCCGCUAAUAAUAGAUUGUUCCCCUAUCAACUAAUUUCAUCGGAAAUGUCAACUAUCUCGAACUCGUCAUCAGAGGCAUCCGAGUAUCUAUUACUAGAUGAGGGAGAAGAGGGAAUUCAAGGGGAAUCGAAAGUAAACCGAUGGUCUCAUGAUUCUUUUUCAAGGAUUUCAAGGGAUUGUUGGAAAUAGAAUUCCUCUCCAAGGUCUUAAAUAAUAUCGAUUUGAUUCAGCCGAAGCGAUUUGACUCGCGUCGGGAUCGAUUAAUAGCGUCACCAGUAGCUGAUAUUAGUGGUUCACGAAAAGAAGAAAAAAGGAAGAAGUUAUUGCAAUAUCAGCUGUAUCAAAUUCGUCGGAGGAUUCAGUCAAUGGUGGAGAACUUAAUCUCACAUCCUUACCUUCACCAGAUCUUUUUCGAAGUCGAUCAUCAUCUGUAUUUGAACUGUCCAUGAUUUUCCACGUCUUGUCAAGACAAGUCUUUUUCCAAAAUAGAAAGCACUGGAAGGACGCCACUGCAUAAGACAGGAUGUAGGAUCUUUUAAAUGACUACGUUUACACGGCUCAAUUUACGCCGAAGUUAUAACAUCGAUAUUAUAACUAUUGACGUUAAAUGCCAUGUAAAUUUUAAGAUGAAGUUAUUACUUCGAUGUAGUAACUCAAAGUAAUUUGAUGAAGAGACUUAGAAUUAUAAUCAUCGACAUAAAAAAGAUGUGUAAAUGCGCGUUAUAAUUUCAACGUAAAUCGAACAAUGUAAACGCAUAAAUUAAAAGAAUAAAGCCAAAAUAUGAAAAUGAAAAAGCGCAAAAGUUGGGAAACCGAAGAAACUCGAUAUUUUCUCAAAUUAAUGAGAGAACGGCAAGUAAUGAAAAAUUUAGACGGAAAAAGAAUUCGAGAAGAUGACAUUUUUAACAAUUUAGAAUCGUCUAUGAACGAAAAAGGUUACACUAAAACGUCAAAGCAAAUGCAAACUAGAUUUAGAACAUUGAGGCUUCAAUAUAACAAAAUCCGAAGACAAAUGAGAUAAAGUGGAUCUGGCAAUUACAUAUCCUCAUUUCCAUAUGCCGAAGAAAUGAGCCAAUUUUUGACUUUUUGUCCCGUUGCCAUACAGGAUGUAAACAGCAUAUUAUUACAAAAUCUCUCUGAGAGCAGUGACAAUAAUUCAAGCAAUAGGAUUUAUGAAGAUGCUCUAGAACCAUGACGGUGUAGUCCCAGGAUGUUCAUCGAUAUCGGACAAUAAUUCGACAACAGACUCUAUACAAAAAGAUUCGUUAAGCGAAUCGUAUACUGUAAAUGAAAGCAUAGUUAAUAAUUUUAUUCCUGCAAAAAGACGUCGAGUAAAGAGAUGAAAACAAGCUAUGCCCUUGAAAUAUGCAGACAAAUUAAAAGAAAAUUAUGAAGAAAUUCAAAACAAAAUUAUGAUAGAGAAUGGGCGCUUUGUUGAACAAUUAAUUAAAUCUGAACAACAAUUUGAACAAGAAAUAAUUAAUAACAUGCUUGAAAGCCAAAGAAGUAUGUUAAAAGAAACAACUAACCAAUUGUUAAAGGGUUUACAGAAUAUUUUCGCUCCUAAAGAACGCUCCCGUCUCAACUUUCUUUACAGUUUCAGUUCCUACAUUCAAUUUUGUCGCUUAAAAUAAUCUCUUUAUAAUCUUCCUAUUUCAUUAUUCUUCUCUAUUUUCACCACCUAAUCUUAAAUCGCAAGCUUUUUCUUCAAGUCCUUUUCCUAAAGUAUUAUUAAAUUUAAAAAAUCCAACUCCAAAGAAAACUACAGCCACAAGUAUUCAACAAACUAUCACUGUAAAGAAAUAUCCAUAAGCUGAAAAUCAAAAGUCUAUUUCCGCACAAUCAAUAUUGAACGUAACAUCACAAGAUUCGCAGAAUAAACAAUUUUCGAGUACUCAAGAUUCGUAACAAUUUUAAGAUAGU